UCAAUGCUGAGACUAAAGGCAUGUGUCC
rnacentral:piRNA from 1 species